GCGGAACCCACUGCGGGGCCGGGCCGGGCCGCGUUGAUUUUCAAAGGAGAUUGUCACUUUUACUACUGACUUUACUUUGGUGCUUUCUGAAGAGUCUUUCCAUAAGUAUUUAUGCAAGUUUAAAAUGUGGAGAUAAAGGCACCUAUGUCAGGUCUCUACAUUGCUCUUUGUGCAGCACGAGAGGGGCUGAGGGCGCUGGGAAGGGGCUCAGCCUGGAGCAAAGGAGGCUUAGGGGCCCUUCUGGCUCUGCACAGCUCCUGCCAGGAGGGGACAGCCGGGGGGUCGGGCUGUGCUCCAGGGAACAGGGACAGGAGGAGAGGGAACAGCCUCAGGCUGGGCCAGGGCAGGCUCAGGUGAACACCAGCAGGAAUUCCUGCAUGGAAAGGGUGCUCAGGCCUUGGCAGGGGCUGCCCAGGGAGCUCUGGAGUGCCCAUCCCUGGGGGUGUCCCAGGAAGGGCUGGAGGUGGCACUCAGAGCUCUGGGCUGGGGACAAGGUGGGCAUCGGGCACAGCUGGGACUCCAUGGCCUUGCAGGGCUUUUCCAACAUUAAGAGUUGUCUGACAUGAGGUACGUUUUAACAUAUGGAACAGACAAUGCAAAAUUUUAUGUACUAGAUAGUAAAUGGGUAGAAUAGUCACCUUAUUAGCACCGUUCCAUAGGAGCAUUGAUUGCUUUUUCUCCCCAUAUAGGUCUGAAACAAUUACAAAGCAGCUUGGAAAUCUACUUGAAUAUUUUUAAAGUACAGGAAAUGAAAGAAACAAGCUGGAGUAUAAAGAAAACAAUUAUACAGGUUUGGUGGAGCGAAAAUCCUGCAGUGCCCUAAAGAAAAGCUCCCUGUCAGGGGCUCAGGCUUUUCCAUGAUGGAGAGGGUUGUGCUGUGCUAUCCUGGGAUGUGGUUGGGAAUGGUGUUCCAAGGAAACAAGUGCACACUUACUUACCAGAGUAACAUUGGUGGCACUAAAGCUCUGGGGACAGUAGUGAUCUCAGCAAAGGUUUUUGUAGGAACACUGUGUGCCUUCACCUUCCUGCAGGUAACUCAGGGGGAAUUUAAGAAAUAGAUUGUGCAAAACAGCAACAGCAGAGAUUAUUAAAAUAAUGCUGGUAAGAUGAAAUUUAGUUACAUGUCAGAAAACCCAGAACAAGGACAACUGCCAUGCAGAGGAACUUUUAGCCGUUUCCUGUGCAAAUUAUGCACUCAGCCUGCAUUGCCAGGUUUCUGCAAGUCAGUAAAAGUCCCUUCUUGUGUGUCACAGACCUGACUCUUUUACUGGAUUUGUUUUGUAAGAUAAAAUUUUAUGUUGCUCACCUCAUCAUAAAAAGGAGGGCUGAAGCACAGAGGUAUACAACAAAUCCUGGUGAGUAGAAUCACAGGUCUUACCACUCCAGAUAGCCUUGUCAUAUGAGGAAAAAAGAAAAAAAUGGUUCUAAAGCAUGUAAAGGGAAAAUAAAAACAACUUGAAGUUGAAACCUGUGAUUGGAGAGGUGGGUUGUGUUUCUGUAUUGAGAAUUAAAGGCAGCAAAGUGAGGGAGGAGGUGCUGCAUUGUCCCCUGGGACUGAAGGAGACCCUGGGAGCUGUAAGGAGGCACCAGAGCUCUGACAGCAGGUGAUAAACUGUAAAGUGGAAUAUUAACUUCCUGGUAUUUGAAUAGAAUCAGACUGAGUGAAUAAUGAGCCAAGCCCUGUGAGUUCCAAUCAAACAUCCAGCUAAAUUUGAUCUCUCCACCUAAAAGAGGAGUAGGGGAGGAGGGAAAAAGAAAACUCUACAGAAACCACCAAACAUCAGACAAGCAAACCAGCCACCUUCCUGUAGGCAAAGGAAAACAACCAUUUUCAUAGGAUUCUACACCUGUACCAUCCUGCCUUGGAGAAGAACCAUAAAAGUAGCUGGAUCUUUUUUUUUUUUUUUUUUUUCUUUAUGCAGUAGCUAACCAUGCUCUUAUUCACUUGAAAAAUGAACCAACAACUUUCUGUAGCUGUUAGCUGUGCAUUCCUUGAAGACAUCCUCAGUUUGCCCUUUUUCAGCUGGGUAAUUUGCACUGGGUUAAACUCUACUGUGGAUUCCCCUGGUCUGUGGUUUGUCACAGCAGACCACUGUGCUUCCUUUGGAGCCAUUUCACCAUUCUAAUUAAAUUUGUGGUUAGGCUUAUUUAACUGUUAUUUGCUUCAUAGAAUCAAACAUUUAAGAGUUUGGUGUCUGAUCAUGAGUGCACUAAAAGUAACUGCUUGACUUAAACAAAAAAAGGAAGUUUGUUCUGUGGUU
rnacentral:lncRNA from 1 species